rnacentral:rRNA from 1 species
AUGACCAAUCCUAGCCCCAGUCGUGUUGAUGUUGCAGUUGUUCAAGGAUUUGAACGCAUGCAUGUUGGUUCGGCCCACGCUGCUUAUCAUAUGUUUAACAUGGACCAAGGGGCGCAUGCAUAUGCUACUACAUGCACGUACCAGGUCAAAGCAUUAGCUGAUUCAGUUCUAAAUACAUCAGGUUCAGGUCUUAUUUGGAGCUCCAAUAAAAUAAGAGGUACCAUUAAUUUGUUUGCGCUGCCUAGACCGACGGAGGUAAAUCAUGAUUCAAUUUGGACACGUAUAGAUGAUUUUAUGUGGGACUCUAAUUGGAGAGAUAGAGGUGCAGCUCGCUGGUUUAAAAGGAAGCAGGCACAGCCAAGAUUCUUAUUUUUAUUACUGCCAUGUAAGGAGAAGAUUGGUCACGUAUCAUCCAGAAAUUUUGCAUGGAACUUCCUUUCCUUGAAAAGCAUCGGUUGGGGCCCGCCAGAAAGAUAUGGCGCGCAAGAUUAA